rfam:Streptomyces sp. WM4235 P404contig31.1, whole genome shotgun sequence.
AGCUUGUCCGGGUCGACGGCGCGCGACGCCAGCAGGUAGUCGCGCAUCACGAUGCCGUGGCGACCCUC